CAUUCUACGUCACCUGAGCCAUCACGUCUCCAAGACCCAAGCCCGAGAGCCCGAGCUCCUUACAACUCGCGCGGUGCCCUCCGUGCCCCCACCGCCGCGACAAGGGUCCACGUAGGCCCUGUAGCCCGCAGUUCGCGGGCGGUUCGGGGCACUCGGUCCACGGAGUCGGCUUCGAGGAUCUGCAUAUGGCCAAUAAGCACAUAAAAGAAGCUCAACAUCCUUAGGGAAAUGCAAAUCAAAAUCGCCAUGAAACAACACUCCACAGCCACUGGAUAGCUCUGAGAAUGCUGGUGGGAAUGUGGAGAAAACAACCCUCAUGCACUGCUGCGGGGGGAGUACAAUCGUUACCACAUGACCCAGCCAUUCCACUCCUUGGUGGGAAAAACAAGGUACAAAGAGGAAAACUAAUCUACCACCGAUCUCAGGGCGAGAAACUAUCAAAGCUAGAACUGGAAUAAAGGCUGCUCAACUUCAGAACCUGGUCCCUUCACCACUGCACUACAGAAUUCUCACUCUUACUCAUUUCAAAUCCACCUCCGGUGGCAAAGCUUCCAUGUUUUGAAACUUUGCAUGUCUAAAAGGAUGUAUGUCAAACUGCAUUGUUCCCUUUGUUAUAAAAAGCACUUUUUUUUUUUU